UUCUCCGUGCUUGCCAUGGUCAAACCGGCGGCCCGGUCACCGUCGCCCGGCCUAUAAAACACCACGCCGCUUGGUCACAACUCGAUCACAAGCGAUUCCUUCUCAUUUCGAUCGGCUCUCGAGCUCGACGAAGGUUUUGACCCUGCUCGAUCGUCUUUGUUCUGAAGCUCCGAUCCUCGUGGCAAGACCACCAGUGACCGGCCGGGUGGUGUUUGGUAGCUGCCGCCGUUGAGCGACGAUGGAGCCAGAGCUGCAGGCGGCGCUGGUGAAGGUGGGCGUGUUCGUGCUGGUGCAGGCGCUGGUGUACCUCAUCCUGUCGCAGUCCUCCACCGUGUUCUCGCGCACCAAGAGCCUCGGCCUCCGCCCCGCGCGCUCCCUCAGCGCGCGCCGCAUGGUCGCGAUGCUCUCCGACCUGCCGCUCGCCGGGGAGCCCUCGCCCGUCGCCGCCUUCGCCAGGACGCGGUCGUCGUCGUUGUCGUCGCCCCUGCUCGCCGCCGACCACCUGGAGGACUGAUGAGAGGCCGCCGGUCGGCCGUGCGGGCGUGCCGCGUAGCUAGCUUAGCUAACGAGCUCCUCAUCACCAUUCAUUCAUUCUUUUGAUCGAUCGAGGCGUGUGGGUUUGAGUACUUUGGUUGUAAGUUGCUUGGUUGUCCAUAUUUCAUGGAACUUCGUUUUGCGCAUGUGAAUACUACUUCGUCGCAGUUCAGUAAAAUCGUGCUUGUGUAAUUCUGUUUUGUGAAGAUUUUGGAAGGGGAUCAUCCCAUCUGUCAUCUGUGAAUUGAAAUGGGGGAUGAACUGAUGAUUAGACCUUCUCAUGCAAAGGAUUCGGUCGCUAUGAUUUAUCUUUUCAUGCGAAUCAUCUUCCUUUUCUAUCAGCAAAGGAAGUUAUGUGUUCCCCUAACAUGCGUGGAAGAACUAACUUGUUUUUUUUACCUUAAAUAAGAAACAUUAUUGCAGCAUAGAUCAAUUCCCAACAAUGGGUAAAUUUCAAAAACGCAUUAAAAGAGGUGUACCGGAGCGGUUCUCUUUUACUUAUAGUUUCUCGUAUAGUCUAUUAUUGUGAAUUGCUACAAAUAGCAUCAUCUUAAAACUACUUUGAAUGUAAAUAAAGAUACCACUUUUGUACACUAAUAAAAAUGCCUAUGAUUUGACUAUUUGUUGGCCAAAACUUGUAAUUUGACCCCUUUUUUAAUUUAAAGACAGAGAGAACAGUUGGUUCACCCUAUGAAGCCAAUCUCCAAAUUUAAUGCAAACAUACUAGCUAAAAGCUCAAAACCAAAUGAAAUUUGUAUCAUGUGCCAAUUGCCAUAUGAAUAUAGCAAAAUUGUCAAAAAGAGCAGGUUAUUGUACCUCAUUAUUAAAGACCACUUAGUCAUACCUUUCUAUGGUUAUCAUACCACAUGAUCUUUUUGACCGCCAUUGCUAUCCAACAUUAAUUCAUAAAUUUCCAUCAUACCAUUACCAUCAAACUCUGUUGCUAAAUGUCAUCUAAUAUUGUGACACUGCAUUGCCAAAAUAACAUUCACAUAAUCUAAUAGAUGCAUGAGUAAAAAAAAAAGAUUGUCGUGUGCCCUCUGAUUUAAGUUGUCGUAGUGAUCCCGCGACACCUUAAGGCCCUGUUUGGCACGGCUCCACUCCUGAACUCCAGCAACUCCAUCAAAAAAUUCAGCCAAACACCCCAACUCCAAAACUCCAUGGAGUUGCCAACUCCAUGGAGCUGUAGUGCAAAUGGAGGUGGAGUUUUGGAGCACCUCUUUUGCUGCUCCAGAAACCUCUCUUUUGAACCUUCUCGUGGAGUUGGUGGGUAAUUACCCACCAAUACCACUGGUUACACAAAAAAACGUUUCAUUCUAUUCUCCCUUCUAUUCUCCCGAGCCCCACUCGCCACCAGAGCCCUGCCCGUCGCCGCCCCCGUGGCCGGCCGGCCCCGCCGCCCGUCGCCGCGCCCGCCGCCCGUCGCCGCCCGCCGCCGCGCCCGCCGCCCGUCACCGCCCGCCACCGCGCCCGCCGCCCGUCGCCGCCCGCCGCCCGUCGCCACCCGCCGCCCACCGCCCGCCGUUGCCCGUCGCCACCCACCCAGCCGCCUGUCGUCGCCCGUCGCCGCUCGCCGCCCGUCGCCGCCUGUCGUCGCCCGUCGCCACCCGCCGCCCCGUCGCUACCCACCCCGCCGCCCGUGGAGGGUCUCCCGUGUGCGGCACAAUGCAGUGGAAAAGGGGGAAGAAGAAGAUGGGAUAGAGAGGAUGACAAGUGGGGCCUUAAUUAGGGGGCAACAAUGGCAAUCCACACUGAAAUCGAUCUUUUUUGGAGCUGAGAGCACCCAUUUAGCCAAACAUCUCAUUUUUGUUCUGGAGUUUUGGAGCGGAGCUGGCUCCAUGUGGAGUUCUGGAGUGGAGCAGCUCCACCCGGAGUUGGAGCCAUGCCAAACAGGGCCUAAAUGUUAGACUCAUUUUUCUGUUUAUUUUAUUUUAUUCAAAUAUUUAAAUGAAGUCAAAAUUUAAGUGUUAGCUCUUAAUCUAAACUUGUAAGUAUAUUAUAAAAGGGUAAUUAUUUUUUGGUAAUAAAAUAAAUAUGUAACUCUAUGUCAAAAUGGGUUCAAAAUUCACAUGGUUAAUAGAGAAUUGGGCAGAAAAAAUACAAUUAUCCGAAUAAAAUAUCUGACUGGAUAUUUGUAUGUUAUCCGACAAAAAAAAAGAUAUUCUACAAAUAUCUAUCUGUGUAUCGAUUUGGGCCAUUGGAUGUUUUUUUGGAUUGUUGAAAAUUGGCGACUGCUAAAGUUACAGUAGCAGUAGUAUAACUGCACUGGAUCUCAACAUCCAGGCAGCAGGCAUGAUCCAUCAUCCAUGACGUUAACUCGUGCAUACUUCUACCGUCUUGCCCACGCGUCAACGCAAGCAACGACUUGAGACAACCAGCUCUGAAAGUUUCCGAUUCAACCCGCGGGAUUAAACAAUCUGACAUUAACCGAACCAGAGCACGGCAAGUCGGCGACGAAGCAUCCCUGCACAUAUCACAUGCAUCUCGCGCCCGAGCUCUCCCGCACGGCCAAACCGGCGGCCCGGUCGCCGCUCCUGCCCUGUAUUACCGAGCGCUUCUUCCCGCCGCUUCGCCUCACAAGCAAACAAUCUCUCGCUCCAAACUCACGGAGGACUUGCUCGUUUCGCUCCAAAGAUUUUUUUCCAAGACGUGCAUUCACUAAGAAGAAGAGAAUUAUAACGACGCAACUUCAGAAGAGACCUCAAAGCGCAGAGUUAUAAGAAUUACUACCGACUACAACCUUACACAAACACAAUAAAAAAGAAACCCACAACACCACCACCACAUUAAACACAACAUAAAACGACUGGUACCUACAGGAGAGAGGGGCACCAAGAAUAUGCACACAUCACAGAUUGCCUAACAACCUGGAGCCAGCGGAGGUAAAGCGGGAGGGAUACAAGAUGAUGCCUCCACGGAGGAAGCGACGUCAACGCCGCCAUCGUCCGACUGUCCAUGGAGAACAAAAGGGUUCGGUGGCCGCAACAACGCUCCUAGCGAGGUAAGCUACGUAAAAGGACGUAACCGUUGUUGGCACCAGCGAAUGCUAGGAAAAACUUUCGCUAAGGCCUCCAAAACCAACUCCACACAGUUGGAUGAGAGCCAAUGCGAUGGUAAGACGGUGAGUAAUCCACGACGAUGACGAUGAGGAACAUCCGCAGGCAGAAAGAAGGCCCAAGAUGACCAUGGGGCGACCAAGAGGCGACCGCGACAACCCACAAAUGUGUAGGCUGUCGCGGGAUGCACCACCGCGGAUAUGAAACUGAGCAUUAAGGAGGUUGAUCCGGCGAGCAACGACCUUGGAGACCGAAGGAUCUGAGGCGCGGCAGAUCUGGUCGAAGAAUCACCGGAGCAUUUGGGGCGGAGCUCGACCAUGGGGGCGGUGGCCGGUUAUGGUUAGGGAGGGAGGCACAGGUGGAAGACCCGAUAGGGGAAACCACCAGUGAAGGAGGUGACCAAGGGGGAGCGACCGGAGCACGACCUGUGUGCGGUGGGGGUGAAGGGAGGAGGGGAAGAGGGAAGGGAAGGGGGAAGGGGUGCGCGUGGCCGCCAGCAUUCCGCGCGCGCCCAAUGCGGCCGCCGCCGCCUCCAGGGAAGCACAAUAGCGUGGAGGAGAUGUUGACGACGAGGAGUGACCAUCGGAGAAAGGAGCGACCUUGGAGCCUAACUACUGGAGCAAGGGUGAGGAAGAGAUCCCAGCGGGGGAACAUCGGAUCCGCCUGCGGUAGUGGCAGAUCUGCGCUGCCCCGGCCACACCUUGCUACCCUACCCCCACCACACAGUGCCUCCUGCAGCGAAGAAAGCGUGUCUUGAAGUCCCCGCCGUCCCCUUCCUCAUGGCCAUCGUGCAACCGGUGGAUCCCACAAGCAACAACGAGGUUAAGGAGAUGGAGUGGCAACGCGAGUGUCGGUGUUUAGACCCGGCAACCUACUAGGGGGUGUCCGAGGUAGUGUUUGGUCAGUGGGGCUCGCUGAGAUCAGAAACUCGAAGGUGAACACAGACACAAUAUUUAGACAGGUUCGGGCCGCUAGAUUGCGUAAUACCCUACGUCCUAUGUGUUGGUUGGAUUGAAUUCCUUUGGAGGGGGUCCCUGCCUCGCCUUAUAUUACCGGGGGUAGGAUUACAGGUCGGUUGUUUACAAGAAUAUUAGUCGAAUUCGACAUGGCGAGUUCUACUCUAAUUGCAUAGAGUAAUUUUCCUAAUCCUCGACUAGUUCGUGUCCUACCACGUAGACUACACCGUCCUGCACUGUAACAUCCAUGUCAGACAUGUAUCAAUGUCCAACCUUAUAUCUAGGACUAUCCAAACCUUCUGGUGGACCCAUAGAUGUUUGUACAACAAGCCCCUGAGUACUUUUUAGUCAAAUGCAGCAGUUCCAAGUACUUUUGUAGACCUCACCGACUAGUUGUGGUGCUCUUCGAGUACUCCAUCGUGUUGAGUCUUCAAAUGUACCCGAGCUGAAGCGUCCCCACAUAAGUAGAGACUAAAUGUGAUACAAAUAUCAGUCCCAGGAGGCUGAUAACACAUUUAUUCGACAGAUAAUUCAGUUACCGUACAACUCCCGGGGGAGUGGGCGUGAAAGCCACGCAACGAUAAUAAGUAAAUAAACAACAGCGGCUAACCAAGAGACUACCAAAAGACAGCACUCGGGCCUACACGGCAGCAGCAGCAUCUUGGAAAGGCCAACACCACAGGCAGCGUUGGGUGUGGACACAACCUCUACUCAAGGUCUUCGGCGAUGAAGUCCGGAUCUUCCUCUGUAGUUACGAAGCAAGGGUGAGUACGAACGUACUCAACAAGUCCAACCCCAUCCACGGAGGGGGAUACAAGCAAAUAGAUGCACAGGAUAGAUCAAGGAUAGGCUAGAGUUUAUUUACAGUAAAGCUAGAAUUUUCAACACAUGCAUAUGCUCGUUUUCAAACAAAUUUUUGUAAAGCUUUUCUUUAGUAACCGAACAUGGAGUGGGGUUGAUCCUACACAAAGGAUCCAAGUUUUAUUGCUAUCGGACUCCCCGUCCGUCAUAGCUCACGGCACAACUGCCAGACACUUCCAAAACCCAACACACACACAUACACACGCACGCACUCGUGACCAUCCAUGCCCAAGUACUAGUUAUGUGACCAAGCCGUAAUUCGUCCAAUGCCGUGGACACGGCUACCCGGAUAGGUUUUAACUCUGCAGAGGUUGUACACUUUUCCCACAAGUAGGGUACCGCAGCACGAUCACCUUAGUGCCGGUGCGGAUCCUAACAAAGCCAUUACCCACCUUAGCUAAGACUGGCUAGCCCUCACGGAAGCACCCAAGGGGUUCACGGCUCAUCCACGACACCGUAACUAGGACCUAAGUCACCAAGACCUUACUCCUGUUCCAUGGGCUCCCGUUGCUCGCCAGCACCUCUGAAGACUAACAGUUUAGCUAGUGGGAUUUAUGCUAAGCCGUUGCCCAUACAACGGUCGAGUGGUUGCACGAUGGUGGAAUUAGGCAAGAUGACACAUCAACUCGGUCCUUAACCACGACAAGAUGGAUAUCUCCCGACAUUGCUCAACCACCAAGGUACGAGCACAACACCCUGGCAUCCCACACGAGGAAUACCCAUCCAUCCUGUCUAUACUUCUUUUGCCUUUGAGCCCAGAAAGCCAUUUUUCUCGCUUGCACACACACACACAUUUAUUUUCCGAAUACACCAUUGUAAUAAUGAUUGUAAUUAAGUAGCAAAUUCCUAAGCAUUCUAGCGGUGGUUAUUGGCUAAAUAGAGCGAGCCAUAUUUAGAGACAACCAAAGGGUAACAAGGAAUGUUCAUAACAAUCAAGGGGUGGCUAUCCAACCAUGUAUUGCAAUGAAAUAAUAUGCAUUUUGUAAAACAGGCCAAUAGGUUGUGUUUGAAAAACUAGGUAUUAAGUAUGCAUCAAAGGGUGAAGCUGGACUUGCCGUCUUCAAAGCCUUCCUGGAGUUCCGGCUCGUGCUGCUGGUCCUCGGGCUCGGGCUCGCGUUCAAACUCCUCCUCGGGAUCCUCCUCGGGCAAUCCGCGAUCUAUGGCACGCACAAACGGGCACACAAAUAAAUAAAAGAAAGAUCGGUUUUUAACCGGGAGCUCCGAAUAGAAAACGGGAACGAAAAAUAGGUGGAAAGAUUAUUUUUGGGAAAUUUGGAUAUGUAUCGGCGAAAGUAUUCUGGAGGAUGAAGUGAUGAAAUUUGGGAUCGAUUGGAGGAAGUUUGGCACAUGAAAUGACAGGUUAAACACAGAUUAGAGGCUUAAAAAGGAGGUUUAGGACUGAUUCGUAUAAACCAGGGACCUAUUUGCGAAUACUUUUGGAGGUGGAGGGGUCGAUCUGUGAAACAGCCUUUGAGAGAGGUGGAAGGACCUAUGUGUAAUUUGGGGAAACUUGGGGUCGGAUCGGGAUUGGGGAAACUUUAGCUCUUCUUCUUCCACGGAGAGAGAGAGAGAGAGAGAGAGAGAGAGAGAGAGAGAGAGAGAGAGAGAAAGAGAGAGAGUGGGAAGUUGGGGUUCGACGGCGGCCGGCCGGCCGGGCUUCGCCGGCGGCGAGCCGAGGGCCGGGGGGUGGUGGAGGAAGGGAUGGAGACCCUAUUUUGCCUCCCUUACCGUGGGUGGCGGCACUGGGAGAGGGGCGGCCGGUGGUGGUCUUAGGCGGCGGUGCACGGCUUCGGUGGCAGCUUCCGGCGGCGGCGGUUGGCGGCGCGCAGAGGGCUCGGCACGGGUGGCGGUGGUGCUGGUGGAUGGGGCGGGGAGAUGGCCGGGCGCCGGGCCCUUUUAUAGGCCGGCGAGGGGAGGGCGGCCGGUGUUGCGGUAGGGCCGGUGGUGGCGUGUGACGGGCGGCGGGCGGUGCCGGAGGGCGGUAGGGGCCGGCGGUGGCGUGCGGCGGGCUGCGUCGGGGGCGGGGCCGGAGCACGGCGUGGCGGGCACGCCGGCGGCUGGCGCUAGGGCCGGCAGCUACGCCGGCGCUGGCGACGUGCGGCGUGCCUGCCGGCGACGUGCGGCGUGCGCGGUUCGGGCAUCAGGCGCCGGGGCGGCCCAGCGGCCGGGGAAAUUAAGGCCCGGGGGCGGGUCCGGCCAAGGGUGGAGGUGGAGCCGACCGGGAGGAGUGGCGCCAGUAACCAGGAAGAAGAAAGGGGGUGGAAAGAGAAGAAGGAAGGAGGAAGAAGAAAGAAGAAGGAGGAAGAAAGGAAGAAGGAAAAGGAAAAAGAAAAGGGAAGGGAAAACAAGAAAGAAAAAGGGAGGGAUCGGCGGCGUCCGCGGCACGCGGUCGGAGCACCCGCGCGGCGUCUGACCACGGCAUGCGGCGAAAAAUACGGGCACGGAUAAAAUGAUGGAGGGCGGCUUGGGUGCCGGGACGGCGAAAUUGCCGGGAAGAUUUUCGAUUUCUGGGAGCUCAGCGGUAAAAAGAUUUUAAAAACAAUUUUUAACGGGUGAUUUUAGUUGGUGAUUUUGCGGGUGUUACACGAGCACUGCCAUACGGCUACAAUGUGCUCAAGCCUCAUUUAACUUGGUCUUGUUGAGUCUUCAAAUGUACCCGAGCACUACCAUGCGGCUAUAAUGUGCUCAAGCCUCAUUUAACUUUGUCUUGAAUCUUCAAUCUUGAAGUUUUAUAUAGAAUUGUGAUGAAAGUUGCACUCCAUAUGGAGUAGCCCCUGAGCAUUAGAUUGAAUUGAAGAAUCAGGCUGAUAGUCAAUUUGUAAUUUGCAUCUCUUUUUCUUUAAAACCUAGAGAAAAAACUUUUUAGCCGAUGGGCACAUGGCAUACAGCCCUCGAGCCGUUACACGACUAGUUUGGUGGGUAUAAGGGUCAACCUUCGGUCAACAUGACCAUCCAUCAACAGUAACCUUAUCUAUUCCGAAAAUAGUGGUAACUGCCAAUCAAGUGCGAAAUCUUCGGAUCCAUUAAAACCAGAAUAUUUCUUUAUUCCCACCACUGUUACUGCGCUGUGGUUAUAAAUAACGGAGGAAAAUAUCCCUUCCGUUUUACCUUUGCCAUCUGCUCUUUCAAUUUUCACACUAUAGCCCUAGCUCCACCGCUGCCCGAUCCUCGAGCGCUAGCGCCGCCACCCCCCACCGCUUAGCCCCCGAGCGUAUGUGAAGGAAGACCCUCAUGGCAACAAGGAUGGGGAAGAAGGCAGCUACAACCAAGGUGGUGGAAGGUAGGAAGAAGAAGGCAGACAAGAAUAAGGAGAUUCAACUCCCUGCCCCCAAGUAUGGAAAACAUAUCAGACUGCUCUGCCGACUCCGGCAUGUAUCUGGAAGCGAUCCUCGUUGAAGGAGGAAAAUAUCAAGGCACUGGGAGUAGCCAACCUUCUCCUAGGAAAAUACGUCAUCAACUGGAGACCUGCCUUUAGCAACCCCUGGCCAAUGGAGGAGUACCCGGAGGAGACGGUAAUCUUCUCGCAUUUCAUUGAACGUGGUCUUGCCUUACCCGCCUCCGAUUUCUUCCACGGUCUCCUGGACUACUACAAGUUGGAACUUGUUCACCUCAACCUCAAUUGCAUUCUGCAUGCCACAAUCUUUGUACAUUUGUACGAGGCUUUCCUGAGGAUCCAGCCCUACUUCCAGCUCUUCUGCAAGUUCUUUCAUGUCAAGCCACAGCCCAAGAUGCAGCACACCGAAGUAGUCGGUGGGGCUGGAAUUCAGAUGAGGGAAAAACUCAAGAGCCUUUACUUGACUACGAGUUGAUUGACUCACAUUUUGGAUGGAAGGAGAAGUGUCUCUACAUCGGCAACCAUGACCCCAAUCUCCCCAAGUUGACAGGCUAUCGCCCGACUUGGAACAACAGGUGGAUGGACGAGCCAAACCAUGGAGAUUGCUUGCAGCUACCCAAGCUCCUGGACAGGAUAGCCAAACUCAAGCAAGAAGGGCUAAUAGGAGUCGGGGUAGCCUUUAGUUUCAUGAAGCGGCGAGUGCAACCCUUACAACUGCAGUGCACCUGGGGUUAUGACUACUCAGGCGUCAACGACCCAUUCAGAAUGUCUUCGGAAGAACUCAGUGUGGACGAGGUCAUGGCAUGGUUGAGGCGCCUUUUCAAAAAUGCAAGUGAAAUCUCGACGAUUGUGCGGGAGUUCUGUGCUGCCAACCCAUCAAGAGCUGUAAGUACCCGUGGCCGCAACCCCCAAGUACUCAUUUUGGUAAAUUUUGACGUACUGACUUGUCUGCCUGUGUAGGAAGACGUACACUUGUACUGCUCCGCUCCUCAUGUUCAUAUGAUAGCGAGCGAGAGUGAAGUCACGGAGGAGGAAGAAGAAGAAGAAGAAGAAAUCAAGUCCUUCAGCAGCUCUGAUUCUGAAGCUUCGGAGGACUUUGUGCUCAAGGCCCGACCAUCUAACAAGGCUGGGUCAUCCUCCGGAUCAUUGAAGCGUGCAGCUGAAGAUGAUCUGGAGGCUGCACUGGCUCCGCCGCCAAGGAAGAAGUGGAUCAUCACUGGGAAGCGCACUGUGAGGAAGCCUCUCACUGCCGAAGACGUAGCUCCAGUGUAAUAAUCUUUGAGGAAGGGAAAGAUCUUGAUGAUCGAGUACUAGUAAAUGAAUCCAAUACCACCAUGUCUACUCAAUAUGGCAUUGGUGGUUUGCAGGUAGUCGGGAUGGUGACCGAGGUGAACAGGACGUCUACUGAAGUCGUGCAAUAGCAGCUACCAGCAAUCAAGGAGUUCAUCGAGAUUGAAGAUGAUCUGGAACCCCUCGUUGCUAAGGUGGACCCUACCAGUGCAAGGACUACUUGAGAGACAGAGGCGGCAAUGAAGGCUGGCGAGGAUCACGCUGCAACCCAACAAUCCACAUCAAAGACGCUGUCUCCAACCAUCCAGCUUGUCAAGGGAGCCCUCUCUGAAGUUGAGGCGAUCCUCAAAGUAAGUAUUGUUACUGCUGUUGAGUACUAAUUGUAGUUUGUUAUGAACUUGUUUUACAUCUCUGACAACUUGUCUUAUAUAGGAAAUCCUCUAGCGUGGAGCUUGGUGGUCCAAGCCCAAAGCCCGUGGCCGGUGGCAAUAGCCACUCGGUCUAGGACAUCGCUCUUGCACCAACAAGCCUGCUGCCAGACAACCUGCACCGACAACACAUCCAGGUGCCAUAUCUCUUAUUGCCGCAUUGAUGCAAGAUCUAAUAUCUUCAUUAACUGAUGUUGUAGUGCCAACCCCCGAGCAACCGGUGCCCGAAGCCAUAGUGCCGACUACCUUUGGCACUAUGGCUACUCUCGUAGCCUCAAGCCAGAGGCAAAAAUUGAAGCAGCGGAGGUACUGGAAAUCGUGACUGCCAUCCCAACUUCCAAGCUAGGCCCGUCAACAAGUUUUUCCUUGGUUCAACUCAGCGGGGCAGAUGCUGAAGCGCACAGGGAGCCAUUGAUAGCUGAAGGGGUUAACCUUGAAGAUAUUCAAUUAAUCGACGACCCGUGGCUCAACAUGGAGAUGGUGGCCGGGAUGACAGAAAUGUACCGCCGUGUAGGCGUAUAUGCGGAGGUAAGUUUCCUCCUACUUCGCCCAUAACUUGAAAUCAGUACCCGUACAUUGACACGAGUACUUGUUCUAUGGUGCAGGAUGUCAUCAGGCACUCCCGGAGAAAAUCUAAGAUGCUCCAGGGCUAUGGGGACAUAGUAAUCCGUCUUGAGGCACUUGCCCAGGAGCUUGCGAAGGAGAGGGUGUACUCCUCCCAAAUGUUGAUGAAGUACGACAGACAAGCCACCGAGUAACAGUGUCCAAUAGUUUGAGGAGGAGAAGGACCGUGUCAGGAAGCGGAACAAGUCACUGAAGCAGCAACUGAGGGUAAUUGGUAUUUUCCCUUAGUCUUUGAGUACUGAUUCCACUUUGUGAUGCUGAAUUUCCUUUGAAUUAUUCCUGCAAUGCUCGAGAAAACAAAGGAAGAUCUGCAGGCCCGAGUUGUUGACUGGCAAAACUCCUACUAUCGGUAAUGGACCAGCACGAAAAGCUAUCUACGAUAUAUGAAAACCUGGACCAUUGCCUACAGAAGUAGAAGAAGAUGCACGAGGACAGUGAGGUUGACUUGGUCAACAUCAUGAAGGCCCUCCAGGAGCGCAAGGCCGAGCUUGAGGCUACAAACCUUGCCCUGAAGGAACUAUCCAAAGUAGCUCAGCCUAUUGCGGACAUGGUGGAGCCCCCAGCUGAGGGUGUGGAGCCCCGCCCUUUGUUCGAGAUACUCAAGCAUGUUCUAGCAAAGUUCACUGGCUAUGUCCAGAAGAUAGCAAAGUCGGUCUCUAAGCAGCUGCUGGCCUUCGUGAAAUCCUUCUACCCGCAGGCGGACCUUGCCCCUGUCGCGAAAGGGAUAGCGGAGGACUGCUCAGAUGAGCUCUUCCAGUAGUACCUACAGGAGAUGGACCCUAUCGCGAAGGAAGUCACGAAUCACUUGGACCUUGAGUAGUCUUUGUAAAAAAUGAACAUUAGUUCUUUGUAAUGUAAACAUUAUAUGAAUGAAAUGUAAAUAAUUCUAAGCCUUGUUGCAAUUUUACUACUUUCGACUUGUUGUUUUUUAGUGCAUCUUACAAACUACCCUAAUGAUUGCUCAUACAGUAGAUGUAAGUGUCUGCGUGCAAGGCUACUUUGAUGAGCCUCUUCAGAUACACGAUGUAGAGUACUUUAGGAUGCGACUCCUUUCUGCGGAGUAUGAGUACUCGAGGUAUCUGGGUAGUCAGACCUCUUAGGCGAGUAGACUCUUCAGGAUUCCUUUGACUGGAGUCGAUCUUUACAACCUAUCUAGGUUGUUCUGAUGUUGUGCUCUUGAAAACCUGGAACUAUAGAACUUUUUAUUACAAGCCGCGACUAGACAGACUUAUCUAGCAGAAAGUAACUCAGGAAGUUUAGUUAACUCCUUUAUUGCUGACGACUUCUUUUUUGGAGGCCGCCGAGGGACAGACUUGUCCAGUGAGUUGAAUAACUCAUGAAUUUAACUGCGAGCUUGUCUUUGCAAGCCGCUUUUGGACAAUUUUGUCUGAUGAGUUGAAUAACUCAAAAGAUUCUUUGCAGACUUUUUUUAAAGCUGCAUGUAGGCAAUUUUACCCUACAAGAUGAAUAGCUUUGUACAGACUUGUUAUUACAAGCUGCAGAUUGGGCGAUAUUACCCAGGGAGCUGAAUAGCUCUGCGAAAUUGCUUUUGGAAACCGUAAUCAGGCAGAAAUAAGUAGUUAUUUUUUGAUGAAAAAUAAGUCUACUUUAUUAUAUUGUAAUUAUACAGCUAGGGUCAAUGGCCAAUUUACAUGAAUAUGUAAACUAAGGAUAAAAUUGAUAGAGUUGCUCGAUGUUCCACGAGUUGUCGAUGUCUUCACCAGAGAGAUGUUGGAGCCUAUAUGACCCAGGUCCAGUGACCUUGGAGAUGAUGAACGGACCCUCCCAUGGUGAGUUUAGCUUGUGCAGUUCCUUGGUGUCUUGGAUACGUUUGAGGACCAUAUCGCCUAUAUUGAAUGAACAUUCUUUCACGUUGCGAUCAUGAUAGCAGCGAAUUCCUUCAAGGUACGUUGCAGAUUGGACGAGUGCUGCACAACGAGCUUCUUCGAGGCUAUCUAAGUCUGGACGCCUUGUUUCUUGUACUGCGCCCUUCUCAUAUUGCUCGACUACUGGACAUUUUCACAUGACGUCGCCGGGGAGGAUAGCUUCUAAUCCGUAGACUAGGAAGUAGGGCGAUUGCCCUAUAGGCUUGCAUGGCUGGGUACGAAGUCCCUAGAGGAUAUUGGGUAGUUUCUUGAGCCACUUGCCCCCUUUAGUGUUUCCAAUAUCAUGUAGUCUUUUCUUGAGAGCUUCCAGUACCAUCCCGUUGACGUGCUCAACCUAGCCGUUGGCCCGCAGAUGAGCGACAAAGAUAUACCAGACGUUAAUCCUGCUAUUCUCGCAGUACUCCCAGAACUCGUGGUUGUUGAAGUUGGAGCCCAGAUCUGUUAUAAUGCGAUUGGGGAAGCUGUAGUGGUGGACAAUGUCGUCGAGGAAGUUGAGUACUCUAUCUGCCUUAGGGCAAGUUACUGGCUGCACCUCGAUCCACUUGGUAAACUUGUUGAUCACCACUAGUACUUGGCUGAAUCCUCUAGGUGCGGUAGGCAGUGGGCCAAUUUUGUCUAGCCCCCAGCAUGCAAAAGGCCAAUAGGGUGGUAUGGUGAUCACCUUGUAGGCAGGGAUGUGUUGUUGCUUGGUGAAGAAUUGACAUCUUUGGAAUCGACGGACUAAUUCCUCGGCGUUAGUGAGAGCUGUGGACCAAUAGAACCCUACUCUAAAAGCUUUGCCCACGAUCGUUCAUGAGGAUGCUUGGUUGUCGCAGAUGCCUUUGUGAAUUUCCUCCAAUAUAUACUUGUCGUCUUGUCAUGAGACGUAGUUCAUGAAUACUCUAGGUGAUACGCCUCUUUGAUAGAGCUUGUCUCCGACUAGAACAUAGUUCUUGCCGCGUCAUGAGACUUGUUCUGCUUCUAUUUUGUCUGGAGGUAACUUGUGCUCUUUGAUGUAGUUGAUGAAAGGAUUUCUCCAAUCUACGUCGAUCAUCAUAACUUCCUGAUCUGAUGCGUCUUGACCUAGAUCGGUGGUUGUUGAUGGCGUCGGCUCCAUUAUGGAAGGCUUGUGUACCUCAUGGACGAAGACCCCAACUGGAACUUGAGCACGAGUAGAUUCAAGCUUGGAUAGGACGUCCGCGGCAACGUUGUUGUUGUUGUGAGCUACGUGGUGGAACUCUAGACCAGAGAACUUGUUCUCUAGCUUGCGUACUUCCAAGCAGUAUGCAUCCAUGUUGUCCUUAUGUCGCUGUAGACCAACAAUCGCUUGAUUCCUAGCAAAACUGCCAGGCGGAGCUCGUGUAGAAGCGCUUCGUAUUCGGUUUCAUUGUUGGAUACCUCCGAGAAGAUUUGCAACACAUAUUUGAGUUAUUUGCCUUUGGGAGAUGUUAAGAUUACUCCUACGCUGGCGCCCUGGAGCUUGAGUGAUCCGUCAAAAUAUAUAACCCAAUGCUCUGGGCGCUGUGCUAGAGUUGGUAGUUGAUUUUCCCGCCACUCUGACAUGAUUGACUAGUGCCUAGGAUUUGAUUGUAGUCCUCGACUUGAAUUACAGGGACAAUGCUUGGAGUUGUACCACUCACUUGGAUAUUCUUCUUAUUUCAUCCCGAUUGUGGAGGAUUUCUCGUAGAGGGAAGUCUGUGAUGACGAAGAUGUUGCGCUCCUGGAAGUAGUGUCGUAGCUUCUGCAAGGUGAGUAGUAUUGCGUAUAGUAAUUUCUGAACUGGCGGGUAUCUGGCUUUGGAAUUUGACAACACCUUGCUGACGAAGUAUACGGGCCUCUGUAGUUUGUAUACAUGGCCUGGUUCCGGUCUUUCAACCUCGAUCGCCGUACUGACGACAUUAGUAGUUGCGGUGAUGUAGGGCAGCAAGUCUUCAUUGGGGUUUGGCGCCGUGAGGACCGAUGGCUUUGAUAGGAAGUCCUUCAACUGUUGCAGGGCUUGGUCUACCUCCUCGGUCUAUUGGAAUUUGUCUUACCGCUUGAGUAGUUUGAAGAAGGUAGUCCACAUCCUCCAAGCCUUGAGAUGAAUCUGUUAAGAGCCGCCAUGCAUCUAGUCAGCUUUUGGACAUCCUUGAUACACUAUGGGGCGUGCAUGUCGGUGAUGACAGAGAUCUUCUCAGGGUUGGCUUCAAUUCCUCAGUGACUGAUGAUGAACCCGAGUAGUUUUUCGGAGGGUAUGCCAAAAACACACUUUGUUGGGUUUAGCUUCGAACAGAAUUCUCGCAAGCUUGCGAAAGUUUCUUCUUAAUCCACAAUCAAGUCAUCGGGGUUUCUAGUCUUUACGACCACAUCAUCCACGUACGCCUCUACGUUGCGGUGUAACUACUUCUUGAAGCACUACUGGAUUGCCCGUUGAUAGGUAGCGCCUGCGUUCUUUAGCCCGAAAGAUAUUGUAGUGUAGCAUAAAGCUCCAUACGGGGUGAUGAAUGCGGUCUUGAUUUGAUCUUCUUCCUUGAGAGCUAUCUGGCGAUACCCUGAGUAGCAAUUGAGGAAAUAGAGUAGGGUGCAUCUAGCUGUUGAGUCGAUUACUUGAUCAAUCCUGGGAAGCCUGAAGGGAUCCUUUGGACAGUGCUUGUUGAGAUCCGUGUAGUCGACACACAUUCUCCACUCGUUGUUGUUUUUCUUUCACACCAGGAUGGGAUUGGCAAGCCACUCUGGAUGAUGGACUUCUUUUAUGAAGCCCGCCACGAGUAGUUUGGCCAGCUCUUUCUUGAUGGCUUCCCUUCUGUCUUGGGUGAAACGGUAUAAGCGUUGUCUUUUUGGUGUAGCUUUUCGAUCCAUAUUCAGUGAAAGCUUGAUCAACUCCCUAGGUACCCCUGGCAUAUCCAAUGGCUUCCACACAAAGAUGUCACGGUUGGCGCGGAGGAAGUUGACGAGCGCGCUUUCCUAUUUAGGAUCCAACCUUGAGUUAAUCAGGGCUGUCUUGGAGCUAUCACCAGUCUCAAGGUCAAUGGCUUUGAUGUCUACUUCACUUGCUGGCUUGACCUUGGUUGGCUCCAACUUCUUUUCUGGGAUCUCCGGUUCUAAUGGGGACAGUUUCUUGGAUGCGGCAAAGACUUGCAUCAUCGAAUUUGGCACUUGUGUAGUUGCUGUUAGCUCCACGGCUUCCGUGUCAUAGUAGUAUGAUGUUUUCAAGUCUCCGUGCAGGGAGAGUACUCCCUUGGGUCCCGGCAUCUUGAGUACUAGGUACACAUAGUGCGGGAUGGCUAUGAAUUUGGCGAAUGCAGGUAUUCUAAGGAUAGCAUGAUACGAUGUUUCAAAGUCUGCCACCUCAAACCAGAUGUACCCUAUCCGGUAGUGUUCUUUGAUCCCAAAGGUAACUGGCAAAACCACCUGUCCAAGGGGUACAGCUGCGUUGCUUGGAACAAUCUCGUAGAACGGAGAGUUCAUUGGGGUGAGCAUGUUAGUGAUGUCGAGGCCCAUCUUUCUCAGUGUCUUGGAGAAGAGUACAUUGAGACCGCUACUGCCAUCGAUGAGUACUUUGUUGAGUCUGGAGCCAGUGAGUACUGGAUCCAGAACGAGAGGAUACCGCCCUGGGCCUAAGAAGCUACUCCAUUGGUCCUUCCUGGAGAAGGUUAUUGUCACCUCGAACCAUUUGAGGAACGUUGGUGUUCCCAGUUCAAUGGACAUGAUCUCUCGGAGGGCGAGUUUAUUGGACCGCUUAGUAGCAGUACCCGAUAUGCUGCCAAAGAUGAUGUUAAUGGUGUUGGAAGGGUUCUGGAAUUUGCCGUUAUCACCAUUGUCUUUGUCUUCCUUGGCCUUGCCCUUGUCUUUAGUACCAGAUGGUUCCGGCAGGUCUUUCAUGACUCUGCGUAGACUAUAACAAUCUAUCGCAAAGUGCGUAUGGUACGGGUGCCAUGAGCACUGCUUCUUCAGGAGCUCACUGAACGGGGUCCUGUCUUGAUUUCUGCCGCCACCUUUUUUGGAUGACUGUGACAUCUCCGUGAUAGUGUUGUUUGGCUUUCGCUUGCGGUUCUGACCUCCUGAGUAGUUAUUUCGGUUGUCAUUGUUGGGGCGAUCAUUGCGGUUCUUGUUGUUGCAUUGGUCAUUGUUCUUAUUAUUGUCAUUCUGGCCCUUGUUGCGAUUAGACUUGAACCUCUCGAUCUUCUUGUCUUCUUCAUCUACCCACGCCUGUACCAUGAUCUUAAGAUAUUUGACAUCACCAGGGCGUCUUGUCACGAAAACCUAGAACAUUCGGCAGUCAUAGAUGUCAUUCUAGAAGCAGUCUAUGACAUCGUGUUCCGUGAUAUCCAUGAUUGUGGCCUUCUUGUUGAAGAAGCGACGUAAGUAACUGUGCAGGGUCUCGCUUUCUUGUUGUUUGACUUGAGACAAGUCGAUCUUGUUACCAUGACACUGCAUCGCCCCUGUGUAGUUGUUUGUGAACGCCACCUUGAGGUCCAUCCACGUGUUGAUGGAGUUCUUAUCUAGUGAUUCGAGCCACGUGAGUGGUGCUGCUUCCAUGCAGAUGGGGAAGUAGAUGAUCUUGGUGUUGUCGUUUCCCCCUGCCACCUAUACUAAUAGUGAGUAGCACCGCAGCCAUUGGAUUGGGUCCUGCUUGCUAUCGUACUUGGUGAUAUUCGAAGGUUUGAAUUUCUUCGGAAUAAUUGUCCUCCGUCUUGGUGAUAUUAGCCACGUCUUGAGAAGGUGGGCAAACCGUGAGAAUCCUCUCCUAGGUACUCGACUUCUUACUCGUGUUCACGGUGGCGUCCGUUGAUGAUUGUACAGGCGUCAUGGCCGGCGUUGAUCUUGUUACAAAGAUCCUGUACUGGGUGUUCAGGCUCUGGGUUAGCCCCACGGUGGCCACGGCCUCCCGAGGGUCCUGCCCGACUACCCUCUACUCCAGUUUGGCUUGGUCUGGUGCCUUCAAUUGGACUUAGUCUGGAUGGAGUGCACCUAUGGCUACUUCCAUGCUGACUACGAUGGGAUUGUGUUGAAGUGAAUGUAUCAAGUUUUGCUAAUCGAGUUGUUUAUACGCAUGCUCCACCAGUUCAGCCAAUUGCCUAGUGGAUUUGUCUUGUAGCAUUGCGCAGGUAAUAAGAUCAAUGGAGGCGAUGGUGGCAAGUGGAGUACGAUGUUGACGCGAUUAAACUGCUUCAAACGUGUUAUCCAAGAUCAUGAUUGGCAAGUCUGCUGCAAGGCGGUGACAGCGCUCUGCUCUUGCGGCGUUUCUUACUCGUAAUCGAGUUCUUUGAGCUUUAGUUUCUUCUCCAGCAAUGUUGGCAGUGAGCUCAUCCUGCGAGACAUCAUCUGGGUGAUGUUCAUGCUGUGGAUUUGUCUCUGGUUGCUCUUCUUCAUCGCCUUCUUGUCCAGCAAUGAGAGCUAAGAGUUCUCAUUCGGACGGUAGCUUCCCGAGCUUGACGUGAUGACCUCUGUGGUACCUUCUUCCUCGUAGAUGGGCGAUAGAGGAGCUCCCUCCUGGUAUGGGUGUUAAGGUAGGCGAUGAGGUGUGAGUCGUCAUUUUUGACGAGAGCAGGUGGCUUCAUGUUGGGCCAGUAGAUGAAUCUGCCUUGUGGAGUUGAUGUGAUUAUCAGGUCCUGUUGUGGACCUGAUAAAGGGAUCUCCUCAUCCGGGUCCGAGUAGUAGUUGGGGUCCUCGAUCAUAUUCGUGUCGGAUUAUGAUUUGGAUAGGUUAGCUUGGUAAAUAGCAACCGUGUUUCGGAGUCCGAACGGGAGUUGACUUGGGUUGUAGUCCGAUUUGAACGAUGGCUUAAGUGCCGGCUCGUGAAAAUCAGUCCGACUAGCGGGAGAAGACGAGUUGUACUCGAACUCGUCCCCCAGCCUCUGACUAAGUCAAAAAUUGAAAUUUUGCUGAAAUUCUCGACAAAAUCCUCCAGAGGUUGAUGUUGCAGCUUCAUAGCUUGCUGCUUCUUCUCCGGGGAUGGCGCAAUGCAGCGGUGGAAGUUUCUAGCACCAUCUAUUGGUGUUUUAACCCGGCAACCUAUCAAGGGAGUACCCGAGAUAGAGUUUUCGUUGGUGGGUGUCGUUGAAAUCAAGGAGUUGAUAGUGACGCAAGAACAUGAUUUAGACAGGUUUGGACCGCUAGAUCGUGUAAUACCCUACGUCAUGUGUGUUGUAUGCUUGUAUUUGAUUGAACCUGUUUUGAGGGGGUCCCUGCCCGCCCUUAUAUAUUGGGGGAGCAGAGUUAUCAGGCAGCCUUUGGUACAAGAGUACUAGUCGGACAAGACUAUAGAGUCCUACUCUAACUCGGCAGAGUAGUUUCUUUGUAUUCCAACUAGUCCUUCAGGAGUUCCAUGUAGUCUUCAUUGCCCUAUAGCGUAGUCUUCAUGUCUUGAUACAUCUCGAGUACGUCCCCUUGAGUGGGUCUGUACAGACCCUCUGGUGGGCCCGGGCAUGUAUGGUCGACAAGCCCCUGAGUACUUUGUAGUCAAAUGAAAGAGCUCUGAGUACUCAACAGACGUUACUUGACUAGUUUUCGGUGCUCGUUGAGUACUUCUGUUGUGGCUAGUCUUCGAGAACUCGGAUGCUGUCAUGUGGCUAGAAGGUACUAUUGCCUCAUUCUGUCACUGGUUUUGAGUAGUUUGUCUUCAAGUCUUUAUAUGGAAGUGCGAUGAAACUCGUUCUCCAUAUAGAGUAGCCCCCGUGCCUUAGGUUGAAUCGAAUAAUCAGGCUAAGGGUCAAACUGAAUUUGCUUCGUCUUUCCUUUGUCUGACGGGCAAGGUGUAUGCAUGCCCUGAGCACUUUGAUUGACUACGUUCAGGCGAUGAAGGGGUUAACCAUGAUCAACGUAACCGUUGGACUUCAAUCUCGCGAUAGAUCUUGAGAGUAUCAGACCGUUAUGAAAUUACUCGCGGCGUUCCCAGAAUCUCAAGGCCGUUUUUAGAUCUGUUGAGCUGUUAUAAAAGAUAAGACCGGUAGCCUCUGUGGUUUACACUUCUAGCCAUUCGCAUCUGUCAUUCUCCAUCUUGAAAAAACCCUAGCACCGCUGUUUGCAUCGUCGCCACCGUCAGCCAAAGUUAGCGACCUCAAGUCGCUUUCUUUUCCUCCCCUUACACACCCCUUGGUGAUACGUGUGAAGAAGAUGGGGAAGAAAAUUGAUAAGUCCAAGGGAAAAAUUGUGGAGAGAUCGAUGAAGGAAUCCAGGAAAGGGAAGCAGCCACAGCUUCCCCUGCCCAAAUAUGGGCCUACCGAUCAGACCGCCCCUCCGAAUCAAGCACCUGCUUGGAAGAUGUCCAUCAUGAAUAAAUAGACCAUCCAAGAGUUGGUGGAUGCAAAACUGUUGUAGGAGGAGGCUGUCGUGAAUUGGAGGUGCGUCUAUGCCAAUGCCUGGAAUUUUGAGACCCAUCUAAAAGAGACAGUGAUUUGGGCUCAUUUUGUGGAGAGAUGACUCAUUGUUCCUACAUCAGAGUUCUUCAGAGGUAUCCUUAAUUUUUAUAACCUUCAGCUUGUUCAUCUGAACCCCAAUGGGAUAUUGCAUAUCGCAAUCUUUGUGCACCUCUGAGAAGCGUAUAUGGGGAUACAGCCCCAUUUUCAUUUGUUCCGGAAGCUUUUCCGCUACAAGCCCCAACCUAGUCAAGAUAGGAUGGCAGUACUUGGAGGCAUGGGGUUUCAGCUAAGGGACUCUAAUCUGUAUUUGGAGUAUGAGACUCCGGUGUCCCAUGGCGCGUGGAAGGAACAGUGGUUUUACAUUGAGAACAUUGAUCCUCCAAUGCCAGUGAUCACCGGGUACCGGCCAAAGUACUCAAGCAAGUGGCUCGAAGAGCCUAGCAUUGAGGAUAGUCAUCAGGUGGCCGAGUUGCUGUAGAGGAUUGCAGAGUCGAAGAAGGCAGGGCUGACUGGGGUUAAUGUGGCUGCCACUUUUUUGAAAAUAAGAGUACAACCAUUGCAGCUGGGCCGAACUUGGGGCUAUGAGUACUCACAUUUUGAUGAUCCUUCGCGGUUUGAUGAUCCUUCGCGGUUGAUGAACCAUUGCAGCAGUUGAAGACUUGUUGGGCAAGUUUUUCAAGAAUUUCCAAGGAGUGCCCGAAGUUGAUGAGUCCGUUCAAGAGUUUGACAGCUGGUAUAAACGCAAAGAGGUAACUUGCUUUCCUUUUGAGUACCCUAAUUAGUAGUCAUCAUAUUUGCCAACCAGUAAUUCCUUAUGCAAGAGGAUGUCCUUUUAUACUUUUCUCCUCCUCCUCGUGAUGUUGAUGUUGCAAAAAACGCGAGAUCUAUGUACUACGUGCGCUUGCUUGAUGAUCCCACAGAAGAGGAGAAGGAGGAUAAGGACUCUGAGCUGCUUGGCGAUUCAAAUAUAGCGUCGUCUGACUCUGAGUUGUCUGAUCAUGCUUUUGUGCAGUCUCGAGUUCUCAAAGGUUAUCAAAUUGGAACCGACACCUCGAAGCGUCUAGCGGGAGAUGCUGGUGAUGAAGAUGUGCAGGCUCCAAUGCUGAAAAAGAGACGGACCGUAGUGAAUAAGCGAUCGGUCAGCAAGCAUUUGGAGACGUUCAAAGCUCCGCUGCCAGUAUUUACCUUUGUUGAGGAGCUAUUUGAUGAAGUAUGAGUACUUAUAUAGUUUCAUUGAGUAGUCUAAUUGACUUGUUUUGUGCUUCCAGGUUGUUGAUGAUAUGGAUGAGGACAUUGAAGAGGCCGCGGACGCGAUGUACGGAGCUACCGAGACUACUUCUGAUGAUGUAGCCGUGAUAGCUCAAGACGCGGCUGCCAGCGUGGUUUCUUUGGAGAUGUCUGCUGAAGCCAUUGACCUUGAAGUUUCGAGUAGUGGAGCGGGCGACCCAUAAAAAGUUGCCAUAAGUGGAACUGUGAAAGCACCCGAGGCAGUUUCUGACGCCACCUUGCCUGAAGUCCCCGUUAGUGGUGAGUAUGCGAGUAUUGGUAGUAGUCGCGCCUAUGUUGUCUCUGAGUUGGUUCUUUCAGGUCUUGGCAAAAACACCGAGGAGUUGCCCCCCGUACCGGCUAAUAAGCCAGCUCCAAGUGUACUGCCAGCCCCCGUGACGAAGAUACGUUGAUGAGUUCCUCCCCGGUUCGCCAAGUAAGUACUCUAUUGUAAUAGUGUGAUUACCAACUUCAAUCAUUAAUCGCUUUAUUGAUCUUGAAUCGUGUUUGAUAUCAGGACUUCCCAAGAUAUUGUUCUUAAAGAAACGAGUUCGGAACAGGUUGAAAAUCCGUCAGGCGUGGACUCUACUGCGGCACCCUGAAAGAACGGCAAGGCGACCAGAGGAGGGUGAAUGGGAGCCGAUUCAAAUUUUCUCCAAGAACUUUGGCUAAAAAUCCACAAGUCUCUCUUCUAGCAAAAUCAAGUCCACUUAGCUAUGCAUGAGCUAAUGGACCUAGGAAUAAUGCUAGGAACCCAAUUUGAGAGUAGCGGAAGCAAGAAAGAGUCCAAACAAGCUUCGGAAGAGGAAGUUUGAAAACUAACACCUUUGUGUGGAAAAAUCCGGAAGAACCUUCAGAAUAUUCCAGACAUGUGGAGAUUUUCUAGAGAAAUCUUCGAAAAUUUCCGGAGGUCCGGAGGUUUUCGGAAUUAGGUCCGAAGAUUUUCGAAAUUCCAAAACAGCCUACGUGAGGAGGAAAGAAAAAUCCAAAACUCGAUCAAACGAACUCCAAAAAUCACAAAAUUUGAACCAUAGGCUCACAACAUAUUAAAAAAGCUCAUCCUAAGAAAUCACCCCCAAAAGAUUUUUCAAUCAAAGGGAAUUCCAGAUCAUGUAAAGGGCACUAUUUUUUCAUCCCCUAAACUUGAAUCACCGCGAUCUAUGAACUCGUGAGGUUUCAAUCAAAUCCCUUUGGUAGAAAGGUUCAACUCAUAUCCUAGUUCAUCUCCAAACAAUUGGUUCGACUCAAAAUAUCCCACAACUCAUGAAUCGAACAAAAAUAUGAAGGGGGUGGAGAAGAAGAAGCAAGAACGCGAAGAACACAAACGGAAAUUGCAAAUCCAAAUGGGAUGGAACAAGAUAGCACGAAAUAGAUCUUUGGAUUACUUCACCAUAUCCGGUUACAAGCCACUCCCUAGCACAAUCAAAGCUAGGAUAGCGAAAAGAUCAAACAAAGAUCCACUCUUCUCUUCCUCUCUCCCUCUACCAAAGCCUCUCACAAAACAAAUGAGUAGACUACCACCAACUAGCCCAAGCGGGAUGGCUACCCCAACAGCCCUCCCACAUAUAUAUUGACAUUUGGCCAAUGUCCAAAAUGCCCUUACAUUAAGCAUACAACUCAUAUACCCCCCAGGGGUAAAACCGUCCAAUGUUUUCUUCGUUCAUCGAACAGACAUGCUACCUUCACGACUUUGCUUCACCUCGAUGCAAGCUUUGCGAUGAUGCCACGUGCCCUCCUUCUCAAAGCUCCGGCCGCACCGGGCUCGCCUCCAGUUUUGAGGCCCAAACCGGCAAACCUACCUGCGCGAUGGUUUUGUGGUCCAAACCACCCAAACCCUCUACACACCCACCUGGCGUGACUCACCCCCAGUUUUGAGGUCAAACCAGUCAAACCCUCUACACACCCUCCUGGCAUGACUGACCCCCGGUUUUGAGGCCAAACCAAUCAAACCCUAUCGCAUGCCCCACAAGACGUGGCCCACCAACGUCGCGCAUGUCCAAUCUCCGCCAAUCCUUUGACGCCUCCAAGUCUUUCGCUCCCGGCUUCCGGGCCGCCUACUUGACUUGCUCCGUCCCUCUUGACUCGACCGACACCAUCUCCAUCACCGUUCAUGUACUCUUGCUCUUUCGUGCACCAUGUGGAUCACCCAUGACUCUGUCCAAACUCCUCAGGUCCCUUAGUCCAAGCCUACUCGUAUCCACCCUUCACAGCCCUAGUACAUCGGCAUGGACCUUUCGCGCUUGACCUUCACCUCAUGCCAAUGGCCGCCAUGUCGCAUCCUACACCUGCACAUCACAAGCCAAGAGACACAACACACAACAUACGGUAUACUCAAAAACCACAACACAACUCACACCUCCAGUUAGCCGUUAGCAUAAUCAAGCAUAUAUGAAAUAUGGAAUCAACCGGUAAAGCCUCAAAUCAUCUAGUCAAUCACUCAUCACAAAUAGACCAAGGCACUUCUCAACUUGGUCUCUCACACCCGUUGUCUAUCUGACAAGUGAAGAGCCGACGCAAACAGGUGUGGUGACUCUCGCAGCCACCAUACUAUGGGAUGUAAUUUGUUUGCCUGAGGAUCCAGCGCUGCUAGCCCCCGAGAUUGUUAACGACAAUCCUUCACCCGCAGUCGAGGUUGCAGCGACUACGACAGUGGCAAGCAUCGAAGAGAGGGCUGUAGUAGUGUUGCAGGGUGUCAUGGCAUCUGGGGAGGAAGUUGCGCCAACUGCUGAUCAUGUAGUGGAUAAGGAUAUUUCAGAGGCUGGAGCUUCUUUUUCUCAGCAGCCAAUUCUUACACCGAGUGUGAGGACUAGUAUAGCGACCGAGGCUCCGGGAUUGUCACAAAAUGUUGAAUUUUUGAAAGGCUCCUGGAAGAGCUGCCCCCGAUAUCAAAGUUUGUGAACUUGCAUCAACAGAUGAUGUCUUAUACUCAGGUGAGUUUUUAGUACUGCAUUUGAGUGCUUAAUUACAUAUCCUGGCGCCAAUUGCACUUGUGAAGAGUACUAAUUGUUUUAUUGUGCAGGAUUUACAUGAAAAAUCCUGCAAGAAUAUCCAAAUUGUCCAAGAACAGAGUGAGGUUGUGCGCCGUGUGGCGAAGUUGGACAAAGACAUUAUUGAGGAGCGCUGGCGCACUUCUGAUUUCUUGAAGAAAUAUCAAGAUGCUGUUGAGUCCUUUUGAAUUGAAAGGCAUGAUUUUGAACUGGAGAGGAGCCGUCUGGCAACACACAACAAAUCUUUGCAGCAGAAACUGGAGGGCGAGUACUUGUACUCAUAUUUUGUUGAUCGUAAUUUUGUAUUCUAUUGGCCUCUCUGACCGCAUUGUCUUUGUUCUUUAUAGAGCUAAAGAGUUAGGAAGCCAAACUUAACAGUCAAGUGCUAGACUGGAGCAAUGCUCAUAGUCGCGUCGCCAACGAGGUUGAGCAGCUCAAGGCUCAGUUGGUGGAGGCGAGGGAAAACUAUGAAAAAGAGAGGGGUUAGUGGUGAAACUUUGUUGCUACAUUAGUCGAGGCUAUGCUUGCUAUUAGAAGUCAUACGGUUUCUUUGCAGAAGAAAUAGCAAGAUCUUAAAGAAUUAUCUGACGCAGCGCAUGCCUUGGUUGAUGUGAUGGAGCCUCCCAAAGAAGAAGGAGUAGAGUCCUGCCCCUUGGUCAUGAGAUUGAGGGACGCACCGGCCCAGAUCACCAGUAUGGCGAAAUUCGUUUGCAAGUAGGUCUUAGCGAUCGUAAAAUCCUUUUAUCCAAAAGCGAAUUUGGCGUUGGUUGCCGACGGGAUCGCCGGAGAUUGUAGCGAUGAAACAUAUACGUAGUAUUUGGAGGAUCUGGAGCCGAUCGCCGAGCGUGUAGCGGGCUUUAUUAAUUUAGAAUAGUCUCAGGUUGCUGUAUUGACUUGUAAUUUUGCCGAUAGACUUGAUGCGUCUGAACAAGUAUCUGUUGUUUCUCUUGGGGUGUUGAUCAUUAUAUAUUCAAUGAAUACUUGCUUGCAGAUCUCCAAUGACUAGUCUUGCGAGUAGUCUUCCAUGUAGACCCCGAUUGAGUUGGUUAUUAGUCUUCCAUGUAGGCCCCAAUUGUUGCAUAUGGUUGUGGAGAGCGCACAUGUGAACGUAGUGAUUGUCGCAUUAUUGUCAUAAAGUUGCAAGGACACACGAGUGUACUGUGAAGAACUUGGCAGUUUGUGUUCUGAACGGUUCACGUGCAAAUUUUGAUUCUGCUCAGGCAGGCUUUCAUGUGGGUUUUGUCCUUGAGUAGGACAAGUCGAGUUACUGUGUAGUCACGGAUGCGCUUAUUCUGCCUGGCCUUCCAGCUAUAAAUAGUCCCCCCAACUACCGUUGCUGAGACAUAGAUCCGAGUAUAGCAAUGGUUGGCCUUAAGUUGCUUCUCUUUGAUAGUAGCAAAUUUCCAAUGAGCACCCCGGUGCUAGAAGAUUCCUCAUAGUGAGGUUCCACAUUCCCUCCACAAAUCUCCUCGCUAGGAGAGAUAACUGCGAUACUAGAAUAAUCCUCGUAAGAGGAUAACCAUGCUAGAGCUCGUGGGUGAAAGAUGAUGAGCUUCACGGUCUUUAUCCAGUUUUCUAGUCGAGGAUGGAGGCGUGGUGCUGACUGCUCACUCUCUCUGCAACGUCUCGGGAUGAGACUAAAGUACACAAUGUGUACUUCAAGUCCAGUUCUGAGUACUUGUAAGAGAGAAAGGGUGUUGAUGAAGGGCAGCGGAGCUGGAGUGCGUGGAGCCCCAGUCUCCAUCUAUGCCACCACCAAGGGGAGGAGAAGGGCACAACUGCCUAGAGCGCAACUUCCUUGCGUGCACUCCCUGCCUCUUGGCGGUUCUUCCUCAUAGACUGUGAGUAGUCACCAGGCUCAAGUGUAUCCUUGUGAUAUAAUAAAAACCUAGGACUUCUAUUAUAACUGCCAAUAGGCAGUUGCUUGUAGUCGUUGUUGUGCACUUGUGUUGUACUCUGAAUACUCCGACUUCUUAAAGUAGAGUUAUCUGUUGUAAUUCUGCAAAAUUUCGUUAAUAUGAAAGUUGCAUGUAAGAAAUGAGAUGAGUAGUUUUGUGUACUCUUUAUUUGUCUAUUGUAAAAGACUGAUGCUUAUGGAGCUGAGUAGUUCAUGGAAACUUGUUAGCCAAGAGAUAGCUCAAAUUGCGGUUGUAGGCCACUGUACGAAUUGUAGAGAACUCGUAUAGACUUGUGUUGACAAGUCAAAAAUAGAGCGCUAGGGCUCGUGGAGCUGAACAACUCAGGAUGUAGACUUGUUUGAAACAAGUUGAAGUCAGAGCGCAGAGGCUCGUAGAGCUGAGUAGCUCAAGUUGCAGCUGACCCCCCUUUGCGAGCCGCUAGACUUGUUGAAAACAAGUCAAAAUCAGAGCGCAGAGGCUCAUAGAGCUGUAUAGCUCAAGUUGCAGCUGACCCGCCUUUACGAGCCGCUAGAAUUGUUGAAAACAAGUCGAAGUCAGAGCACAGAGGCUCGUAGAGCUGAGUAGCUCAAGUUGUAGCUGACCCGCCUUUGCGAGGCGCUAGUUGUAGGCAAAUACGAGUAGUCAGUAGUUGUCGAUAGGAAAUUUAUUAAUCAAAAAAGAAAGAUUAAGGCUGGUGGCCUGAGUACAGUGCCACUUAGUCGGCUGACUAUGGCUAGUAAUGACAUAGGUGCUCAAUGUUCCAGGAGUUUGCAAUUUCUUCGCCGAAGAGUUGUUGUAGCCUGUACGAUCCUGGUCUUGUGACUUUUGACACGAUGUAAGGCCCUUUCCAUGGGGAGUUGAGUUUAUGUAGCCCCGUUGUGUCUUGAAUGUGCUUGAGUACCAUGUCGCCAAUGGUGAAAGAACAUUCAUUGACGUUGCGAUCGUGAUAGAGACGUAGUCCUUCAAGGUAUCUUGUUGACUAUACGAGUGCUGCACAGUGUGAUUCUUCCAAGCUAUCGAGUUCUAAGCGUCUUGUUUCCUCUGCUACCCCUUCAUCGUAUUGCUCGACCGCAGGGGAUCUCCAUAUGACAUCAAUAGGAAGUAUGGCUUCUGACCCGUAAACAAGGAAGUAGGGCGAUUGCCCAGUAGGCUUCCACGGUUGAGUACGUAGCCCCUAGAGAACAUUGGUUAGUUCUUUGAGCCACUUGCCUCCUUUGGUGUUACCAAUGUCAUGCAGCCUUUUCUUGAGAGCUUCAAGUAACAUGCCAUUGGCACACUCAACCUAGCCAUAACCUCUUGGGUGAGCGACAGAGACCUAACAAACGUCGAUUCUGCUAUUCUCGUAGUACUCCCAGAACUCAUGAUUGUUGAAGUUUGAGCCCAGGUCUGUGAUGAUCCUGUUUGGAAAACCAUUGCGGUGAACUAUUUCGUCCACAAAGUCGAGGACUCUGUCAGCCUUGGAGCAGUUGACUGGUUUCACUUCGAUCCAUUUGCUGAACUUAUCGAUGGCGACAAGUACUCGAUUGAAUCCUUCUAGGGCUGUUGAGAGUGGACCAAUCAUGUCAAGCCCCCAGCAUGCGAAAGGCCAUGUUGGAGGUAUGGUGAUGAGUUUGUAGGCAGGGACAUGUUCUUGCUUGGCAAAAAACUGGCAGUCUUGACAUCUGCGGACUAGUUCCGCUGCAUCUGCCAGUGUAGUUGGCCAAUAAAAUUCUGUUCUGAAAGCUUUGCCUACUAUUCUUCUUGAGGAUGCAUGAUUCCUGUAGAUUCCUUUAUGUAUUUCCUCCAAGAUGUCCAUGCCGUCUUCACGAGUGAUGCAUUUCAUGAGUACUCCCGAUGACACUCCUCUUCUGUACAGUUUGUCUUCGACUAGAACGUAGCUUUAUCCUUGUUGUGAGACUUGUUCUGCCUGUGUCUUGUCAGAAGGUAGCUUGUGUUCUUUAAUGUAGUUGAUAAAAGGAGUCCUCCAGUCUACCUCGAUCAUCAUGAUUUCCCGGUCAAGUUCUGGUGGACCCUUGCUGGUAGGUGCUGGAUUUAUUUGUUCUGUUAUAGAUGGCUUGCGAAGUUCAUGAACAAAGAUACCUGCUGGGACUUCCGCGCAUGUGCAACCUAUUUUGGAUAAAAUGUCAGUAGCAACGUUGUUAUUACGGACCACAUUGUGGAACUCGAGGCCAGAGAACUUGUUCUCUAGUUUGUGAACUUCCCUACAGUAUGCGUCCAUUUUUUCCUUGCUGCGGUCCCACUCGUCGUUGACUUGAUUGAUGACUGCUAAUGAAUCACCAUAGACUAGUAAUCUUUUGAUGUCUAGUGAAAUUGCUAGGUGAAGAUCGUGUAGAAGUGCUUCAGACUCGGCUUCGUUAUUUGACGCUUCUCAAAAGAUUUGAAGAACAUACUUGAGUUGUUCACCUUUUGGGAAUAUUAAGAGUACUCCCGCACCAUCUCCUUUAAGCUUGAGAGAUCCGUCGAAGUACAUGACCCAGUGUUCAGGGCAUUCUACCGGUGUAGGUAAUUGGUUUUCCCUCCACUCACCAUGAAGUCGACUAGAGCUUGGGACUUAAUUGUUGUUCUAGGUUGAAAUUUUAAAGACAAUGCUCCGAGUUCUACUGCCCAUUUUUAGAUUAUUCCCGUGGCAUCCCGAUUGUGUAGGAUCUCGCCAAGGGGAAAUCCGUGAUGAUGGAUAUGUUGUGUUCCUAGAAGUAGUGUCGCAAUUUCCGCGAAGUGAGUAGUAUGGCAUAGAGUAGCUUCUGGACUGGUGGGUACCGUGUCUUAGAGUCCGAGAGUACUUCCUUGAUAAAGUACACUAGUAUCUAGACUUUGUAGACAUGGACUAGUUCAGAUCUUUCGACUACUAUUGCUAUGCUGACAACAUGAGUAGUUGCAGCGAUGUACAAGAGCAAGUCUUCGUUUGGUGUUGGAGCUGUGAGGAUCGGUGGCUUUGAAAAGAAGUCUUUCAGUUGUAAUAGAGCCUUGUCUACUUCCUCUGUCUAUUGAAACUUGUUUUGUCAUUUGAGUAAUUUGAAGAAAGGUAGACCCCGUUCUCCAAGUCUUGGCAUGAAUCUAAUUAGGGCCGCCAUGCAGCCUGUGAGCUUCUGCAUAUCUUUUAUGCCAGAUGGAGCUUGCAUGUUAGUAAUGGCAGAGAUUUCUCAGGAUUUGCUUCGAUGCCCCGAUGACUGAUGAUGAACCCGAGUAGUUUCCCCGAUGGUACGCUGAAAACGCAUUUGAUAGGAUUGAGUUUCCAUUGGAAUGCUCGCAAGCUUGUGAAAGUUUCUUCCAAGUCUACGAUCAAAUCAUCUCUAUUUCUGGUUUUGACUACUACAUCGUCCACGUAGGCUUCUACGAUGCGGUGUAGUUAUUUCUCAAAGCACACAUUUGAAUUGCACGUUGAUACGUUGCACCUGCGUUCUUCAGCCCAAAGGACAUUGUCUUGUAGCAGAAUGCUCCGAAAGGGGUGAAGAACGCGGUCUUGGCUUGAUCUUCUUCCUUGGGUGUUAUCUAGUGAUAUCCCGAAUAACAAUCAAGGAAACAGAGUAGUGCACAUCCGGCUGUGGAGUCGACUACUUGGUCGAUUCUGGGAAGCCCAAAGGGAUCUUCGGGACAAUAUUUGUUGAGGUCUGUGUAGUUGACAUACAUCCUCCACUCGUUGUUGUUCUUCUUUCGAACUAAAACUGGGUUGGCUAGCCAAUCAAGGUGAAAAACUUCCUUCAUAAAUCCUGUCGCGAGUAAUUUGGCUAGUUCUUUCUAAAUUCCGUCUCUUCUAUCUUGAGCGAAUCUUUGUAGUCGCUAUCUUUUUAGAGUAGCUUUAGGAUCGAUGUUGAGUGAAUGCUCGAUCAGUUCCUUGGGCACACCUGGCGUGUCGGCCGGUUUCCACGCGAAGAUGUCUCGAUUUACCUGAAGGAAACUGACAAGCACGCUUUCCUAUUUGGGAUCGAGCCCUGUUCCAACCAGGGCUGUUUUGGAUGAGUCGCCAAUCUCGAAGUCAAUGGUUUUGAAGUCCUUGUCGUUUGCUGGCUUGACUUUAGUAGCUCCCGACUUAUUUUGUGGAAUUUUGAGUUCUGCCGGGGUAAGCUUCUUUGACACGGUGAACACCUGUUGCAUGGAGCUGGGGACUUGAGAAGUCGCGGCUAUCUCAACAGCUUCCGUGUUGCAUUCAAAUGAUCAUCGCAGAUCUCCACGAAGGGAUAGUUCUCCUUUUGGUUCGAGCAUUUUCAGUACCAAAUAUAAGUAGUGUGGGAUGGCCAUGAACUUGGCCAGGGCUGGUCUUCCAAGGAUGGCAUGGUAAGAAGUCUCGAAGUCAGCCACCUCGAACUUGAUGUACUCUAUGUGGUAAUGCUCUUUGGUACCGAAAGUGAUAGAUAAAAUAACUUGUCCUAGUGGAAUAGCUACAUUGCCUGGGACGAUUCUGUAAAAGGGGGAAUCCGUUGGGGUAAGCAUUUCAGUGAUGUCAAGGCCCAUCUUGCUCAAAGUUUUGGCGAAAAUGAUGUUGAGGCCACUGCCACCGUUGAUGAGUACUUUGGUUAGUCUUGAGCCUGCGACAAUUAUGUCUAGUACCAGAGGAAAACACCCUUCUUCUGAGAAAUUGGUCCAUUGAUCCUUUCCGCUGAAAGUAAUGGGUACCUCAAGCCAUUUGAGGGGUGUGGGGUGGCUAGUUCGAUAGCCAUGAUUUCUCUGAGUACUAAUUUGUUGGAUCGCUUGGAGGCAGUGUCGGAAAUUCCGCCGAAAAUGACAUUGACAAUCUUAGACGCCGUCUGGAACUUGUCUUCGCCAUCUUCAGUUUCAUCCAUCUUGCCCUUGUCCUUAUUGUUGUUAUUGUUGUUGGCGGGAGGUUCUGGCAACUCCUGCAUAACUCUGCGAAGGCUGUAGCAUUUGAUUGCAGCGUGCUUGCUGUGUGGGUGCCAUGGACAUUGUUUCUUAAGUAGUUCAUUGAAUGAAGGGCCAUCAUUUCGUUUGUUUGGUCCUUUCUUUCUUGAGCUUGACAUUGCUGGAAUGGUAUUGUCCGAUUUCCGCUUGCAAUUCUGAUUGCCCGAAUAGUUAUUUCGGUGAUCGCCGUUGCGGUUUCUGUCUUGUUCUUGGUUGUUACCUUGGUUAUUGUUGUCACAUCCUCGAUUGCGGUGUGAGUCAAAACUUUCACGCUCCUUAUCUUCUUCGUCUGCCCAUGACUGAGCCAUAAUUUUGAGUUCUUUGACAUCCGCUAUACGGCGUUUGCCAAAAUCUUGGAACAUGCGUCGGUCCUAGAGACCAUUUUGAAAACAUUCAAUCACAUCUGCUUCAGAGAUGUCGACAAUUGUAGCAAUUUUUCCGAAAAAACGGUGUAGGUAGCUACGUAGGGACUCAUCCUUUUGCUGCUUAACCUGAGCCAAGUCGAUUCUGUUGCCAGGGCGUUGCAUAGCUCUCGCGUAGUUGCUUAUAAAAGCUUUCUUUAGAUUAGAUCAAGAGUCGAUGGAAUUAGGCUUCAAAGAUUCGAGCCAAGUUAGUGGCGCUGGUUCCAUGCAUACGGGAAAGUGGAUGACUUUUGUAUCAUCGCUUCUGCCUGCAGCUUGGACUGCUAAUGCGUAGCAGCAGAACCACUGAACUGGAUCUUAUUUGCCAUCAUACUUAGUGAUGCCCAUUGGUUUGAAUUUGUCUAGAAAAUUAGUCUGCAUGAUUCGUCUUGUGAAAGCGGGGGAAGUGGUCAUUGUCAUCACCCUCAGCUUCACGUUCACGACGGCGAUCGUUGAUUAUAUCCCGAGCAUCACAGUUGUGAUUUAAUGUUUCUCAAAGAUCACUGAUGUGCGAGGGUUCUGAAUUUGCUCUACAGUGACGUGGACCUUCCAUGGAGGCCGUACAACUACCCUCAGUUGCAUCUUUGUUUUGUCUUGGAGCUUCGAGUAUGCCCCUAUGUUGUCUUGGUUCUUGAUGUGGUUGGUUUGAGAGUCUUGUAUUGUCUCUGCUAUCAUCAUGGUGACUUGGGUUGCAGGGCACGGAUGGGAUUGGUCUUUCCUUGUCGAAGAGUUUGUAUGUGUGUUCUACCAAGUAUAACAAGAGAUCAUUGUAUUUGUUUGGUGGCAUUGAACAGGCGAUAAGGUCGAUAGAAGCGAUAGCAGCAAGUGGCGUGUUAUGUUCUCUUGUUUGAACUGCUUCGAAUGCUCUGUCAAGGUUCACAAUGGGAACUCUUGCGGAUAGAAGUCGACGAUGUUCCGCUCUCUAAGUGUUUCUUGGUCUCCUUUGACUUCUCUGGUUGCUAGUUUUGCCCUCCGGGACGUCAGCUGAUAAGUCAUCUUGGGGGACUUCUUCAAUUUGGCGUUCCCGACGAGGAGUUCUUUGGUGUUGAUCGCUAGUUCCUGUUCCAUCAGCUGGUGAAACAAUGAAAAAGAGUUCUCUAUCCGAAGAGUAGCUUCCAGAGCUGGAUGUUAUGACUUCAGUAGAGCCAUCUUCUUCACGGAUCAGUGAGAGUAGAGUACCCUCUUGAUAUGAGAGGAUAUCCAAGUGUGCGAUGAGGCGUGACUCGUUGUCUUGAGCAAGGAAUGAUGGCUUCAUGCCCGGCCAGUAGACGAAUCUGCCUUGCGGUGUUGAUGUGAUUACCAGGCCCUGCUGCGAACCUGAUAAGGGGGGUUCUUCAAGAGAAUUCGAGUAAGACUUGUGGUCCUCAAUUGACUCUAAUCCGAAUUGGACUUUGGAUACAGCUUUUUGAUGAACCGUGACCACGUUUCGGAGUCCGAGCGGGAAUUGGCUUGGAGUUGUAUCCGGUCCAUAUGAUGGCUGAAUUGCCUGCUUGCGCGGACUAGUCUGAGUUGUAGUUGAGUCCAAGUUGUGGUCGAACCCGGUGUUAUUCAAAUCGAAAAAUUUGAAUUUCUCGACGAAAUCUUCCGCCUCAUGUCAACAAGAGUUUCCGCCGAGAUGUUUCUUCUCCAGUUCUUCGAUGACGCGGUGUUGGAAACCUCCAAUGCCAUCAGCAAUGCAGAGCCAGGGGCCGAAAACAAAUGUUGUGCCUGUUUUGAACACGAGCACAGCCUUGAUGAUGACUGAAGCCAUCGAUCUGAUGCGAAGAGUUUCGGCGAUUUUCCCUACCUGGUGCACCAGCUGUCGAUGUUUUAACCCAGCAACCUAUCAAGGGAGUACCCGAGAUAGAGUUUUGGUUGGUGGGUGUCGCCAAAAUCAAGGAGUCGAUGGUGAUGCAGGAACACAAUUUAGACAGGUUCGGGUCGCUAGAUCGCGUAAUACCCUACGUCCUGUGUGUUGUAUGCUUGUAUUCGAUUGAACCUGUUUUGAGGGGGUCCUUGACCGCCCUUAUAUAUCAGGGAAGCAGGUUUACAGGGUAGACUUUGGUACAAAAGUACUAGUCAGACAAGACUACAGAGUCCUACUCUAACUCGGUAGAGUAGUUUCUUUGUAUUCCGACUAGUCCUUCAGAAGUUCCAUGUAGUCUACAUUGCCAUGUAGGCUUCAUAUCCUGAUACGUCUCAAGUACAUCCCCUUGAGUGGAUCCGUACAAACCCUCUGGUGGGCCCGGGCAUGUAUGGUCGCCACCAUCUGCGAUGCAAACCCAGGAGCUGAAGAUGAACGUCGCGCCCGCUUCGAACGCAACAAUUGGCUUGAUGAUGACUUGAGCCAUCGAGUUCGAUAGUGGAUUCUCAACGAGAUCCCUACCUUGCACGCCAACUAUCGAUGUUUAGACUCGGCAACCUACCAAGGGGGGUGCCCGAGGUAGUGUUUGGUUAGUGGGGCUCGCCGAGAUCAGGAACUCGAAGGUGAACCCAGACACACGAUUUAGACAGUUCGGGCUGCUAGAUUGCGUAAUACCCACGUCGUGUGUGUUGAUUGGAUUGAAUUGCUUUGGAGGGGGUCCCUGCGUCGCCUUAUAUUGCUGGCGGUAGGGUUACAGAUCGGUUGUUUACAAGAAUACUAGUCGGAUUCAACUAGGUGAGUCUUACUCUAAUUGCUACAAGUUGUUUUCCUAAUCCUCAACUAGUUCCUAUCCUACCACGUAAACUACGUCGUCCUGUACCGUAGCCUCCAUGUCAGACACGUCUCGGUAUCCAGCUCUGUAUCUAGGACUGUCCAAACCUUCUGGUGGGCCCAUAGAUGUAUGUACGACAGUGAGGGAGCCCUCGUGCCGCCCCGGGGAGGGUAGACCACACCAGUGGACUCGACAGCGAUAGUGGUGACCGCCACCUGGCGGCAUGGGCGAGGCCCUUGCGCACGGGUCAGGCUCCCUAGCGUGCAGUCCCCGCAGGAGCGGUGGCGUGGGGCAGGGCCAGCUCUGGCCACAUGCAGUAGAGGCGAUGGUCGGGGGCCCAACGCCAGAGAAGGCCCAACAGCUAAUACAUAAAGCAAAGAUCUUGCUUAAGGGUGGUAAUGGAAUAUGAUUCUCAUGCCUUCUUUACCAUCUUAUUUAGGUCCCGUUUGGAUACUCUCUGCUAAAGUUUAGCACCUGUCACAUCAGAUAUUUGGAUGCUAAUUAGGAACAUUAAAUAUAGGCUAAUUACAAAACUAAUUGUACAGAUGGAGUCUAAUUCGCGAGACGAAUCUAUUAAGCUUAAUUAGUCCAUGAUUUGACAAUGUGGUGCUACAGUAACCAUUUGCUAAUGAUGGAUUAAUUAGGCUUAAUAGAUUCGUCUUGCAAAUUAGCACAAGAUUCUGUAAUUAGUUUUAUAAUUAGCUCAUAUUUAGUCCUCCUAAUUAGCAUUCGAAUAUCCGAUGUGACACUACUAAAAUUUAGCACCUAGUAUCCAAACACCCCCUAGCUCUAUCUCCUCGUAUAUAGUACUCAGCCUAUUCCUGCCCUCCAGCAGGCCGCCGUGAUAGAGGAGUCGAGGACGAGGAGAUAGGCGGCCGUCAAUGCAUCACUGCGAAUUUGAGAGAGAAACUGAGACCCCGACAGGAAAACCCUCGACGUUGUGCGUGGCUUUGGCAUAAGUGAUCGCCAGCCAGCCUCGUCUUCGAUUCGACGCCGGCAACGACGUCUGGGCCGGCUCGGCUCCAGCGUGCGUCAAUGUGUUGUGAGUUAGAUCUUCAAUUUAUUUACAUAGUCAGCGAUCAGCCUCAUUAAUCAUAGUUUUAGCAUGUUAAUUUUUCGGUUUUAAACUUUGAAUUCUAGCAACGAUUAUUCACUUUCCUGUAUAAUUUAGGUAUUAGAUGUUGCCAAAUAAGCAAUUUGUCAGGUGCUUAGGAAAACAAACUAUUUAGUUCAAAGGGUCCAUAAUAUCCGGUUCGCUCGAGGCCCCUCAAAAUUAUAGUCGGCCCUGGCGUGGGGUCGGGCUCCUCGACGGGCGGUCGCCGCGGCGGCGCGGAUCAGGCUACCCGGCAAGCGGCGGUGGGCUCCUCGGCGGGUGGGCCCCCCACGGAGGCAGCGUAACAGAUCCGGACCAAGCUAAGGAAGGUCGAAUAUGGCGUGGGCGGCCGGAGGCCACCCUCGCCGGCAACGAGCAAGCGACCAUGGCAACCUUGAAGUUGAAGGAAGGCGAGGGAAAGGAGGAGUAGAGGGAGGAAGAGAGCGCGUGGGGCUGACUUCGACCCGCCACCCGCCGGCCCGCAGCGGGCGGGCUUGGGCUGUCGCCCCCGAGUCGCCAAGGAAGGCGGUGCGGGGGUCAGGGAGCGGAAUCCGCAAGUCAUCUGACUUUGUACGCUAACGUAGCUUUUGAAGUAAGCUACAAUAAUUCCUAACUCUGUCUCAUUCCUUUCGCUGCAAAGGUCACCAGACAUCGGCUUCGAUCGGAAGGUGCAGAGUCGUUCAGCGUGUUGCCAUGGAGCCGGUCAGCCGGAGCUGCAGGCGGCGCUGGUGUAUUCAUCCUGUCGCCGGGGAGCCCUCGCCCGUGGCCGCCUUCGCCCGGACGCGGCAGUCGUCGCCCCUGCUCGCCGACCGGAGGGAGAGGAGGACUGAGGCCGAACUGAGGCCGAUCUGUGGCGCUAGCUUCCAGUCCAGCUAUAUAUACCUUCGGGAUUAUCGGAGAUCAACACAUCAUGUACCUAUACAACAUUCAUGACAUGAUGACAUACUCAUAUUCUCACAGCUUAGCUUGUUGCGUCCUGUCUAGUUCAGUGUACCAUUUUUUUUGUCAAUUUUUAUCAGUUAGGGGGCGGUUGGAUGUCAGGGCUAAACUUUAGCCCUGUCACAUCACACGUUCGGAUAUAAAUUAGGAGGAUUAAAUAUGAGCUAAUUAUAAAACUAAUAACAGAACCCCUAGGCUAAAUUGUGAGACGAAUCUAUUAAUCCUAAUUAAUCCAUCAUUAACGAAUGGUUACUGUAGCACUACAUUGUCAAAUCAUGGACUAAUUAGGCUUAAUAGAUUCGUCUCGCGAUUUAGCCUAGAGGUUGUGCAAUUAGUUUUGUAAUUAGACUAUGUUUAAUACUCCUAAUUAGUGUCCAAACAUCACAGGGGCUAAAAUUUAACCCCUCCCUGCCAAAUUUCAUGAAGUUUUGAUUGGUGCGUAUGGUGUGGCUAUUAUGCGUCAUUCAGUCGUGCUCAUGGUGAUUGGUGAAGGCCCAAGUCCAUUUGUUCGUAGCAGCCGCAUCGAAGAUUUUUGUACUAAACAAACCAUGUAUGAAUCUGUCAGAGUGAAGUGAGCCAGAUCCGAAUCAGAGGGGCGGCGACGUUGACGCUCCUCCAAUCAUUCACUUGAGUCUCCACGCUCCACUCCAGCGUGUGAGAUAUCAUCCCCUCGUGGCCUAAUCUCCACCUCGGUGUUAGCAUUUCUUAUCCGCCUUGUGCGACCCAAACCAACUCUUCAUAAUCCAUGGCACUCACCCUCCCAAGCCGUCAAAGUCCUAGGGAAAACAAACACCCUUGCGAAGCUUGUGCCCUGCCAAACUGUCUCCUCGUUUACUUUGCUUUCUGUGACGGUUGGCGUGCUGUUUCGUCAGAGCAAAAGCUUAACAAGAACACUCGAUUCCAAAUUCCAAUGCCGUUUUACGCUGCCAGCGAGCCAAAUGACAGAUUCAAAAAAGUUUCUUUUUACUUCGAAAAAGAUUCCUUUCCAUGCACAAACACACAGGUUUGUUAAUCCACCGGACGCGCCUACUCAAUUUCACACGCAGUGCUCGUGAACUGACUGAUAACAAUACAAGGAGCUCAAGGAAGGAAGAGCAUCUAUAAAUCCGCGCGGAGACUUGGCUCGUCCUAAACCCCUCGCGGUGCAAUACCACCGUGAGUUCAUCACGUCCACUGCUCCGAAAAAACCCUUAUCUGGAUUGCAAUCCGUCUUCCAUCCAUCCAUCUCAAGAUAAAGAGCACCCGGCCGAGGCCAAAACCCUCCUUCCACCUACCAAUCUGAAGAGUCCAAUGCUUUUGUGACGCUACACAUUGCUACGCAUCGGAGUAUCAGAUUGUUGUGGUUCAGGAGUCGUAAUCGCAAAGGUUGUGUGAUUUUUUUUCGUUUGUUAAACCAAGAGUUUUGCAGAAAAAGAUUGCGGAAUCUUGUUUUGCGCACCCACAUUAUUUGGGAGCUGUGACAUGGAUCUGCCUGCCCCACCUACCAAUUAUCCCAAAACUUUAUCCUCCAUUAUCCUAUGCCGUCGUCGUCCUGACGCGGGGGCGGCGAGGAGGCGGGAGGCGAUAAACAAUUGCGCCAGCCAGAGGCUCUCCCGUCCAAUACUAUCUUCUCCACGGGGCUCACCAGUGCCCGGCCACCACCACCACCACUCGCUGCUGCAGCCCGCCCCACCCGGACCCGGGCGCGACCGAGUCGUCGCGAGAUCCAGCGCCGUCGUCGCGCCAGCGCCGCUGCCGCCCCCGCUGCUGCUGCCGGAGAUGCCGAGCCCGACGAUCCGGAGGCUCGACGUGGCCUCGCCGGUGCCGGCGGACAUCGACAUCGCCAAUUCCGUCGAGCCGCUCGGCAUCGUCGACAUCGCGGCAGAGCUCGGCCUCGGGCCCGAGCACUACGACCUCUACGGCAAGUACAAGGCCAAGGUGCGUUCUUGAUUUGGUCCCUCGUGGUGUCUGCUGCGGUUUGAUCGGAUCUUGAGCCGCCGUUUUCUCGCGUGCCGGUUGCAGGUGUUGCUGUCGGUUCUUGAUGACAUCAAGGAGCAGCAGGACGGGUACUACGUCGUGGUGGGCGGCAUCACGCCGACGCCUCUCGGGGAGGGCAAGUCAACUACCACCGUCGGCCUGUGCCAGGCUCUGGGCGCCUUCCUUGAUAAGAAGGUGAGAUUUGUACUGCUAAGUUUGCUUGAGCGAAUUGUACGAUCGUCGACGAGGCAGUUGACUGAUAAUCGUCCAAACCUUGCGAGCUGAUAGGGAACCAUGGAUCCUGCCAGAAAUUAAACUGUUUGAUGCGAUCUUGGACUGGAUUGUGGAAUGCUAUCUUGUUGCUCCCACUUAGGCAGUGAAUAGCGAUGCGUUUACAUUGGAUAUACUGCCUUUUUUGUUAUGGCAAUCCGGAUUUACGAUUCAGUUAUACCAGUAGGUCUUCUUGAGCAAGCUAUGUUGAAAGUGAUGGAACACUCAGUUGCUCUUGAUCUUUUGUUCCUGUAAAAAUUCAGGAGGAAAGAUCUGUGAAAUAUUUUGUUCUGAAUGAUCUGUAUGAGUCGAACUGCACAUUUUCAGAGCUUAUAGUUGAACUACAUCUUUAUGCUCAUGUAUUUGCUCAAUUGCUCACAUGAGUCAUAUUCACAAUUCUCUUUCUCAACCUAUUAUAUAUUUAUAUGUGCCAAGUCCCUUCCGAGUUCCAGCGAACACUGCCUUGUCUACCAAUCAGUAGUUCAGUACUGUUGGCUUGCUUUUAUGGCUGGUGUAAAUCUUUGGGUCCUUUAUCUACUUUUCAUGCGGCUGAUAGGCUGAACCUUUAUUUAUGUUGCUACAUUAUUGCGAGGGCAACCAUAUGUUCUUAUAGAACAACCUCGGACUAUAAAGGAACCCUGAGCUUGUGAAAAUCAUCUCAUGCAUAUUCAAGAAAUUAAAGGAAGUCAUCUCAUGUAUUGAUAUAUUGUUGUUAUUAUAGGUUGUCACAUGCCUCCGUCAGCCAUCACAAGGGCCUACCUUUGGAAUCAAGGGAGGUGCAGCUGGUGGUGGCUACAGCCAGGUUAUACCCAUGGAUGAGUUCAAUCUUCAUCUGACAGGCGACAUUCAUGCAAUUACGGCUGCAAACAACCUUCUCGCUGCUGCUAUUGAUACAAGGAUUUUCCAUGAAAAUUCUCAGUCCGACAAAGCACUGUUCAACAGAUUGUGUCCGGCAAACAAAGAAGGCAAGAGGCACUUUGCUGAUGUAAUGCUCAGACGCCUUACAAAGCUUGGCAUUUCUAAGACAGACCCCAAUGAGCUUACACCAGAUGAAGUUAGGCGUUUUGCAAGGCUUGAUAUUGACCCUGAGUCCAUUACAUGGAGACGGGUGAUGGAUGUCAAUGACCGUUUCCUGAGGAAAAUUACUAUCGGACAAGGCCCUGAUGAAAAAGGUAUGGUGAGAGAAACAGGCUUUGACAUAUCAGUAGCUAGUGAGAUAAUGGCUGUGUUAGCUCUUACAACUUCCCUUGCCGACAUGAGAGAGAGGCUUGGAAGAAUGGUGAUAGGGAACAGCAAGUCAGGUGAGCCGAUUACUGCUGAUGAUCUUGGUGUUGGAGGUGCCUUGACUGUCCUAAUGAAAGAUGCUAUUCAUCCAACCCUCAUGCAAACUCUUGAAGGCACACCAGUGUUAGUACAUGCUGGACCGUUUGCUAACAUUGCUCAUGGAAACUCUUCAAUUGUUGCUGAUAAGAUUGCUUUGAAGUUGGUUGGGAAGGGUGGCUUUGUUGUUACUGAGGCAGGUUUUGGUGCUGAUAUCGGAACUGAGAAGUUCAUGGAUAUAAAGUGUAGGUACAGUGGAUUGGUGCCACAGUGUGCUAUUAUUGUGGCCACAAUUCGAGCUCUUAAAAUGCAUGGAGGGGGCCCAGAUGUUGUGGCUGGGAAGCCUCUAGAUCAUGCAUAUGUGAGCGAAAAUGUGGCCCUUGUUGAAGCUGGAUGUGUCAAUCUUGCUAAACAUAUAUCAAACACAAGGGGUUAUGGAGUUAACGUUGUAGUUGCAAUCAACAAAUUUGCAACAGAUACUGAAGCAGAAAUGGAUGUGGUGCGAAAUGCAGCUAUGGCUGCUGGAGCUUUUGAUGCUGUCGUCUGCACACACCAUGCCCAUGGUGGUAGAGGAGCGGUUAGUUCCCUUUCUUUCUAUUGAAUAUAGACAGCAGCCCUGUUUUGUCGGAAUACUUAACUGUAAAUCUGCUCUAAUGUCAACAAAACUUCGUUAUUUUUCAACUUGCCAAGCUAGUACAAAAGAACUGCAGUCUUAUAUACUUUUAUGUGGCUAUGUCAGAUUAUAGUAAUUCAUGGCUUCAUUGUUAUCUAAAAUGGUAUGAAUGUCAGAAUUGUGGGAAUUAAUAUAAUCAUCUAAUUAGAUCCUUCCGUUUAACUUCUUUUCAGGUUGAACUUGGACUCGCAGUUCAACGAGCAUGUGAAAGCCAGGCAGAGCCUCUGAAAUUUUUGUAUCCUUUGGAAUCUAGCAUAAAGGAGAAGAUUGAAUCCAUAGCUAGGUCUUAUGGUGCUAGCGGCGUCGAAUACUCAGAACAGGUACUUCCUUUGUGUUUGAGAUUUGAUUCAUUCAUAAAGUCAUAAUAUUUUGCCAUACCCUGCUCUGCUGACUUCUAUCUGACUUUGCUGCAGGCUGAGAAGCAGAUUGAGAUGUACACCAAGCAAGGCUUCUCCAACCUCCCCAUCUGCAUGGCGAAAACCCAGUACUCGUUCUCCCACGUUCCCUCCAUGAAGGGUGCCCCGACCGGCUUCGUUCUACCGAUAAGAGACGUGAGGGCCAGCAUUGGAGCUGGGUUCAUCUACCCGCUCGUGGGCACCAUGAGCACGAUGCCCGGCCUUCCCACAAGACCCUGCUUCUACGAGAUCGACAUCGACACUGCCACCGGGAAGGUCAGGGGCCUGUCAUAAAUUGAAGCUCAGUUGGUGCCAUUCAGAGACUGCAUUGCAUCUGCGUUGGACAGAAUUUUGGUGCAUUCCUUGAGCUGAAUAAUCGUAAUAAGUAGCCGUUCCAGGCUUCCUGAAAAUCCAGCGUUACCUGUUUCUUGGGUAACCUGAAGACUGUAAAUGUGCUCUAACCGUGCUGUUUAGACUCUGUUCCUGUGCCCCAUGUCUCAAAACCUGCAUUCCGUUUCCAAUUGUUCCAUCCUUAUAGUGACUAUUUUCCAUGAGUUGUCUUUGAAUUUCUUGAUCGGUGAUUGGUAAAGUGAAGUCAGUGCUGAGGCUGUUGGUCUGACUGGGGCGAUGAGAUUGUCACCUGAUCUCACACACACACAAAAGGAAAUAAGGCAUUUUAGAGAUUUUGGUUACCCGACACGGCCCAUUUUCUAGUUGUAGAUCGUCCGCGCAGACCGCACGCCCGGUGGGAUACUCCAGGCCGCUUCUCGUCAGUUUGGGCCUCUGCUUUCAGAACAAAAUUAUUGGACAGUAACUAAUUCCCCAAAAAAAUUGCAGACAUUAUGCAAAUCUGAUCAUAUUUACAAUUCCCAAUUACUAGCAUACAUAAUUAGAAAUAUAUCCGCCAUCAAAUCAAAGAUGCCUGUUGAAGACUAUCCAGAUCGGCGAUCAUAUCUUGAAACAGGCUGCGCCGUAUCACUUGCAAUUCUGCUGCGCAUCAACGCGCUAGUUAGUCACGGGCAGCUAGAAACGGCUUUCUCUAUCAGUUUACCCCUCUUCUUUUUCCCUCCGCCGCGUUGGUCCAACGGAAACUCCAGCACGGAAAAGCGAACGCGCCACAAAAGCCCACAACGACCAACCCGUUAGUAGCCGCGACGAGUCAACGGGCGGGUCGCCGACGCGGCGCGGAGCGAGCCACAGACGCAGCCAUGAGCUGGGGCAAGAGAGUCAAGGCCUCGCCGCGAGGGCACCGGCACCGGCACCACCAACGCCCCCGUCCGAAUUGACCCGAGAUCACAUGGCCGCUUUGCCUGUUUCCUCGAAGGAGAACAGGUUUCGGUUACUGUCGCGAGCAGGAUCCCGUCCCUGUCGAUCCUUGAUGGAAUUAGGAAUGCCGGGAAUGAAAACGCUUUUCCCUCCACGACAGGUCGGUCGGUGUGGGGAUCGAUCACCUGACUAGUCCAGGAAACGAAAUUAUUGGCAGUCCACAGGAAAAUGGGUAGCAGCAAUCAAGCUGGGAAAACUCUAAGAGACGAAUUCGUCAGAUAUACCAUCGGCACCGGCAGGCAGUACUGUGUGCCAUUUCAUCGUGAAGGUAACAUCUGACAGGCAAUUCUGCAACGUAACAUGCACAAAAAAAAAA
rnacentral:lncRNA from 1 species